rnacentral:rRNA from 1 species
ACGGAAGGCAGCAGUGGGGGAUAUUGCACAAUGGGGGAAACCCUGAUGCAGCGACGCCGCGUGAGUGAAGAAGUAUUUCGGUAUGUAAAGCUCUAUCAGCAGGAAAGAUAAUGACGGUACUUGACUAAGAAGCACCGGCUAAAUACGUGCCAGCAGCCGCGGCAAUACGUAUGGUGCAAGCGUUAUCCGGAUUUACUGGGUGUAAAGGGUGCGUAGGUGGCAUGGCAAGUCUGAAGUGAAAGCUCGGGGCUCAACCCCGGAACUGCUUUGGAAACUGUCAAGCUAGAGUGCAGGAGAGGAAAGCGGAAUUCCUAGUGUAGCGGUGAAAUGCGUAGAUAUUAGGAGGAACACCAGUGGCGAAGGCGGCUUUCUGGACUGUAACUGACACUGAGGCACGAAAGCGUGGGGAGCAAACAGGAUUAGAUACCCUGGUA